GUUUUAAUAAUUUAAUCAAAAAUAUUGGUCUUGUAAACCAAAAAUAAGGACACAACCUUUUAAAGCU
rnacentral:tRNA from 1 species